UCCGAGUUGACCCCGGCGGUCUCCCAUGAGCCCCCACCACUACGUGCUGGCAACAUGGAACGAGGGUUGCGCUCGUUGCGGGACUUAACCCAACAUCUCACGACACGAGCUGACGACAGCCGUGCAGCACCUGUCUUACGGUUCCCGAAGGCACCAAUCCAUUUCUGGAAAGUUCCGUAGAUGUCAAGACCAGGUAAGGUUCUUCGCGUUGCAUCGAAUUAAACCACAUGCUCCACCGCUUGUGCGGGCCCCCGUCAAUUCCUUUGAGUUUUAACCUUGCGGCCGUACUCCCCAGGCGGCGUGCUUAAAGCGUUAGCGACGACACCGGACACCUAGGGUGCCCAACGUCUAGCACGCAUCGUUUAGGGCGUGGACUAC
rnacentral:misc_RNA from 1 species